GCCGUGAUAGUUCAGUUGGAAGAACGCUAGACUGAAGAUCUAGAUGUCGCUGGUUCAAGUCGGGUCAACGGCA
rnacentral:tRNA from 1 species